CGUCUUCAGGGCGGGGCGAAAUUCCCCACCGGCGGUAUGCCAAGCAACUUGGCGAGCCCGCGAGCGCCCGGCGUCCUUUACGGACACCGGGGUCAGCAGAUCUGGUGAGAUGCCAGGGCCGACGGUCACAGUCCGGAUGAGAGAAGAUG
rnacentral:ncRNA from 1 species